GGGGAAUUUUGGACAAUGGGCGAAAGCCUGAUCCAGCCAUGCCGCGUGAGUGAAGAAGGCCUUCGGGUUGUAAAGCUCUUUCGGUGGGGAAGAAAUUGCAUGGGCUAAUACCCUGUGUAGAUGACGGUACCUGGAGAAGAAGCACCGGCUAACUACGUGCCAGCAGCCGCGGUAAUACGUAGGGUGCGAGCGUUAAUCGGAAUUACUGGGCGUAAAGCGUGCGCAGGCGGUUUGGUAAGUCAGAUGUGAAAUCCCCGGGCUCAACCUGGGAACUGCAUGUGAGACUGCCAAGCUGGAGUGUGGCAGAGGGGGGUGGAAUUCCACGUGUAGCAGUGAAAUGCGUAGAGAUGUGGAGGAACACCGAUGGCGAAGGCAGCCCCCUGGGCCAAGACUGACGCUCAUGCACGAAAGCGUGGGGAGCAAAC
rnacentral:rRNA from 1 species